rnacentral:RNase_P_RNA from 1 species
AGAGGAGGCGAGGCGGUUGCAGACGCAAGUCUGAGGAAAGUCCGGGCUUCCGAAAGACCAAACCUGCUGGAUAACGUCCAGUGCGCGCGAGCGUGAGGAAAGUGCCACAGAAACAUACCGCCCAGGUAACUGUUGGAGUUGCGAUGGGCGAUUUUGGACGCAAGCCAAAAUCCACAAUCCAAAAUCCACAAUCUGGGUAAGGGUGCAAAGGUGCGGUAAGAGCGCACCAGCAGCAUCGAGAGGUGCUGGCUCGGUAAACCCCGGU